GCGCCCUUCGGGGUGCAAGUAGAGUGGCGCACGGGUGAGUAACACGGUAGGUAAUCUACCUUUGGAUGGGGAAUAACAACCGGAAACGGUUGCUAAUACCGCAUAAUGCAGCGGCACCUAAUGGUGACAGUUGUUAAAGCGGGGGAUCGAAAGACCUCGCGUCUAAAGAGGAGCCUGCGGCGGAUUAGCUAGUUGGUAAGGUAAUGGCUUACCAAGGCGAUGAUCCGUAACCGGCCUGAGAGGGCGGUCGGUCACACUGACACUGACAUACGGGUCAGACUCCUACGGGAGGCAGCAUCGGGAAUUUUGGGCAAUGGGCGAAAGCCUGACCCAGCAACGCCGCGUGAAGGAUGAAAUCCCUCGGGAUGUAAACUUCGCAAGAACGGGAAGAAUAAGUGAGGGUUAAUAUCUCUNAUGAUGACGGUACCGUUUGUAAGCUCCGGCUAACUCCGUGCCAGCAGCCGCGGUAAUACGGGGGGAGCAAGCGUUGUUCGGAUUUACUGGGCGUAAAGGGCGCGUAGGCGGCCACCGCAAGUCAUGUGAAAUCUCCGGGCUUAACCCGGAAAGGUCAACCGAUACUGCGGGGGCUAGAGUGCAGAAGGGGCAACUGGAAUUCUCGGUGUAGCGGUGAAAUGCGUAGAUAUCGAGAGGAACACCUGCGGCAAAUGCGGGGUUGCUGGGGCUGACACUGACGCUGAAGCGCGAAAGCUAGGGGAGCGAACGGGAUUAGAU
rnacentral:rRNA from 1 species